AGACGUGGGCCCAAACAUAAAGGUAUCCUCGGCUCAGACGCCGCUCUAGCCGAUAAAAAAAGAGAUACGAACACCGUAGCUCGCCGACGGCUAGUUGGCGGUCGCCGGCGGCGAUCCGGUGCCGCUGGCGCUAGUAGAGGGGACGCCGCUGCGCGUGCGUGAAUGGACGGAAGCAGGCUGCCGGAUCCCUCCCGCCGCUGGCACCAGCCAGUCUCAGCUCGAGGACUAUAGAUUUGUGAUAUAUGACUAUGAAAACCAAUCUUUGGCCCAUCAGAAUGAAGAGACAAAUCAAAAGAUAGCCAUAUAUCUUUGACAAGUGCACCUACGGUGAGAUGUUCAUGGAGCCUUUGGCUCAUCAGAAUGUAGAAAAAAAAUCCAAAGGAGACGUCCAGAGACUUGGGAAAGGGGACCAAGAAAGAGCCAUGUUUCCUUGACAUCCGCGGCAUAUAUCAUCAUAUGUCCAUGGAGAAGAAUAUCAUGGGAACUUUUUGAGCCCUCUCUCAGCAAUUUGAGGUUGAUACUUGACUUUGUCCUUGAUUGCCAACAACGCCGGUUAUUAUUAGUGGUCGAUUUCUUUACAGGAACUUCUAACAUUGGCCAGAGAUCUAGAGGCAUGAGUGUGUGCUGAGAAUUUUACCAACCAUACGGAUUUCCUCGGUGGGUUGGUGAGACGCGUGAAACCAUUUGCAGGACGAGUUCAACAGUUGAAAUGGCAAACCAAGCUAAGUAAUUGGUCUAUGGCCGAAAGUACCCUCCUGAGCCCGAGCUCAAAUGAGCUUGUGUGAACAGCAAAAUAAAUAAAAAAUGGUAAACUUUGACAAAUGUUUUAAGUAUUUGUAAAUUUUCAUCAUUAAAUCACAUUCGUGAAAGGCAUGCAAAAAAAAACUAGUGCUCCAAAUUAC